UAUCACUGUUGCUUACUAACCCCUAGUACUUUCAUAGUACUUUCACUGUGUGGAGUUGAGUGUAGCCAUAUUGUCACUUUAUGUCAAAGAUGUCUAAGUUACCUUUCCUAUCUUUGAGCACUGUGCUCUCAGGAAGCCUCGUUUUCCACUGUGGAUGUUUCUCAUCAUGACUCAUCAAUUGACUGAGCAAAAUGAUGUCAACUUACAAAGUGACAACAGAAAACAGUAACUUUCUGCUUUUGCAUCUGGCGCUUGUUUUCCACAUUGCCAAGUAUAUGCACUUCUGCAUGAUGGAACGUGGGAAGACUGUGAUUAGUCUCAGGAAGAGAGGGGCAGAUGUCAGACAUUCUGCAGCAUUCAACACAAGUGAACAGCAUUUAGAAAAACAAGAUACUUAUGUUGCCCCAGGAGAGCUCAUCUUUCAAGAAAAUAUGGAUACAGGUGUUAAUCUACUCUGCUUUCAGUCUCCUGCAUCACAAGUUUUCUUUAAGAUGGAAUCUGGUAAGUGUGGUCUGAGAAAAAAAAAAAUUGGACCAUCCAGGUCUUUGUUUUGAAUCUUAUUGUAGUCUAAACAUGAAUUAACUACCUUGCCCCACAGGUACCAAAGAUUUAGGAUGCUUUCUUCUUAUAAAGAAACAGUUAGAAAACUGUAUGGAUUUGGAGAUACUGACUGGGCACAUCUGUUCUCUCAUAGGUCUCAUUCUUAGUUUCACUGAUUACAAGUGGAGCUUAUUUUCCUUCAUGACCAAGCCAUGACUAAAAGUGAUUCUUGGUCAUCCAAAACACUUUGACCUUGUAAUACUAGGAUAAAUCAGAGCAUCUUCAUACUUGCUCAGAUGAAUCACAUCUUCUAAUUGCUAAAAAGGAAUUUUGGGGAGAGGAAUAAGGAUAGAAACUGUUACCCAGUUUCAUUCUCCCAUGCAGCAGCUGACACAGACUUUAUCAUGUUUUCUUUCCCCAUAAAUUCCUUCUCCCCUGACAGCUUAAAGUGAAGCAGAAAAAAUUCCUCUGCUUACCUCCAGUCCUCCCUCCUUCUCUUGCACCACGUGGUGUUACUGCUAAUCA
rnacentral:lncRNA from 1 species